UACGGAGGGAGCUAGCGUUGUUCGGAAAUACUGGGCGUAAAGCGCACGUAGGCGGCGCAGCAAGUCAGGGGUGAAAUCCCGGGGCUCAACCCCGGAACUGCCCUUGAAACUGCAGUGCUAGAAUUCUGGAGAGGCGAGUGGAAUUCCGAGUGUAGAGGUGAAAUUCGUAGAUAUUCGCAAGAACACCAGUGGCGAAGGCGACUUACUGGACACAUAUUGACGCUGAGGUGCGAAAGCGUGGGGAGCAAACAGG
rnacentral:rRNA from 1 species